GAUGAACGCUGGCGGCGUGCCUAAUACAUGCAAGUCGAGCGAACAGACGAGGAGCUUGCUCCUCUGACGUUAGCGGCGGGCGGGUGAGUAACACGUGGAUAACCUACCUAUAAGACUGGGAUAACUUCGGGAAACCGGAGCUAAUACCGGAUAAUAUAUUGAACCGCAUGGUUCAAUAGUGAAAGACGGUUUUGCUGUCACUUAUAGAUGGAUCCGCGCCGCAUUAGCUAGUUGGUAAGGUAACGGCUUACCAAGGCAACGAUGCGUAGCCGACCUGAGAGGGUGACCGGCCACCCUGAAACUGAGACACGGUCCAGACCCCUACGGGAGGCAGCAGUAGGGAACCUUCCGCAAGGGGCGAAAGCCUGCCGGAGCAACGCCGCGUGAGUGAUGAAGGUCUUCGGAUCGUAAAACUCUGUUAUUGGGAAGAACAAAUGUGUAAGUAACUAUGCACGUCUUGACGGUACCUAAUCAGAAAGCCACGGCUAACUACGUG
rnacentral:rRNA from 1 species